UACGUAGGGACCAAGCGUUGUUCGGAUUUACUGGCGUAAAGGGCGCGUAGGCGGCGUGGUAAGUCACUUGUGAAAUCUCUGAGCUUAACUCAGAACGGCCAAGUGAUACUGCUGUGCUAGAGUGCAGAAGGGGCAAUCGGAAUUCUUGGUGUAGCGGUGAAAUGCGUAGAUAUCAAGGGGAACACCUGAGGUGAAGACGGGUUGCUGGGCUGACACUGACGCUGAGGCGCGAAAGCCAGGGGAGCAAACGGG
rnacentral:rRNA from 1 species